GGGAGUUGAGGGGAUGGAGGAUGGAAAGGAAAUGAGUAACCAUUAGCUGGUGAGGAAGAAAGGAAAGCCAGAGGAGGAGUGAAGUAAUGUACGGGGAGCAUUGCCAGGAUUGGAAGGAUGGAAGACUCUGCCAGAUAUAAGACCUUCAGCCUACUCCAUCCAAGGCAUCCAUCUGUCUUCAGAAGAGAUUAGAAUUUUGUUCUGAAGCCAUGCAAAGAGUAAGACCAAGUGCUAACAUCCAAUUUGCAUGUGCCGGGAGAGAAAAUUCUUCAUGGAUCUCUGGUGCUCCUACACAUCUCACUGAUGGAGUAACUGGGGCCAAGGGAGAUUACCAACUUGCCCAAGAUGUCAACAUUAGUAAGAGAAAGAGCCAAAUUUCAAACUCAGGUAAAACUUCCACAUGGCCUGGACAAGACCUCGGAGGUGAUAAAAAUCUUGUAUGACCCUGGGAUUCUCAGAUUUGAAAUCAGAAGGCUCGCUAUUUCAGAAUAAACACAAAGCUAAUAUAGAUAUAGUUGAAAAUUUACAGCCCAAACUUAGACUUAGUUUUGCUUAGCAACUGGACCAAAAUA
rnacentral:lncRNA from 1 species